UUUUUUUUUUUUUUUUUUUUUUUUUACUCCUUGGCUCCUCCCUUAUGCAAUAAAUCAUUCUGACCUCUGGCACAGCCAAGGAAAUAGUUACAGUCACUUCUACAAUCUUAAAUUUUUUCCAGUAACUGUUACAAUUUUGAAAAUUGCAAUGCAUUUAGGGAAACACAAACUCUUUAUUUUUCCCCUAAUUGUUUUUCAUUUAAAUACAGAUAUUAGGUACACAUAUCAGAGCGGGAAACUGUUCCCACUAGUGUGUUCAUCUAAUUUAGGUGAUGGAAGCUAUUCAAGAACUGUCUUUUGCUAUGAUCUUGGAAAACUCACUUGACAAAUUUAGACUAAAUACCACCUCUGCAGCAGUGACUUUAAUGGUUAGCACCUGUGCUGAGAAUUUCAUAGUCCUUCUGGACUGCCAAAAGCUUCAUCUCCUUGUGAACUUUCCCAUCAUCUAAAACUUAUCAUGAACUCUCAUCAGUCUUAACCAUAUGCUUCACAUUUGUGAAUGUAUCACUCAUGUGCUUCUAUAAUCUGCACUUGUGAUGGUUCAGAGUUAAAUAGCAACACUGAAAUCACAGGGUGUCACAGAGGAAUCAUUUCUGCUCAUUCGUAAUAGUGAGUGUGAAAUGGAAGUGGUCAAGAGCAGGAGAUAUCAUUUUCCUUGAAGCAACCGGUUGUAAAGAAGACUUGUGUCAGGUAAUAACACCAUUUUCCAUAUAGGAAUCUGGAACCAAGGUAUUGUCCUGUCCUUUCUCUCUCUGCCAUUUUUAUAUCCACAGUAUUCCUUGAAUCAUCUUCUUCUUGUCUUCUGCCACUUUUCUAGUUGAAUCAAAAUCACAGUUCAUCAGUAUUAGUGAAAUAGACUUCUCACUUGUCAUCCUGUGUUAAUCUUGUCCAACUUAAAUCCCUAUUACCGCCAAACUGAUUUAUAUUUUUGUUUAAAAUGUUAAAUAUUUUGAGUUACAGAAAACUAGACAUUCCUUCAAACUCCCAUCCACUCAUCACUCACACAUUCUUUCUUAUGGCUUCAGAUCACUUACAGUUGUAGCUAUUGUCUUAUAAAGCACUUUAAUGCCAGUAAUAGAAAUGCUUUAUGUGCUCAUGACGAAGGUACUUUAAUUAUCCCUGUCAGCCUUGGAUGCCAUAACAAAAUACCACAGAUUGGGUAGCUUAAGAAACAGAGAUUUAUUUUCUCACAGGUCUGGAGGCUGGGAGCCUGAGAUCAGGGUGGCAGAUUAGUCAGGUCCUGGUGAGAGCCCUCUUCUUGGCUUGCAGAUAGCUACUUUCUGUGUCCUCACAUGGCAGAGAGCUCCCCAUGUCUUGAUGCCAUUAUACUGGGAGUUAGGAUUUUUACAUACAAAUUUUCAGGGGGCACUGUGGAGUCCACAGCAAUUCCUGGUUUAGAGAAAGGAUUGAGGUACACAGACUUCAGGAAAAAGGAAAUAAGCACAGAAAGGUUAAGUAAUUUGCCCAAGGUUAAUAUGAAGCCAGGCAGUAUAGUUUCAAAGCUGAUAUUUUUAGCCAAUAUCCUAUCACCUUUUAAAGAAAAAUAAAGCAUUACAAAAAUAGUGAAGUUAAAGGCUUCUUCUUACUUCUCCAGAGGUAACCACAUUUUGAAAUCUGUGUAUUUUCCCAUCCUCACAUAUUUAUAUAGCUGUGUACAUAUAUAUGUGUUUAUAAUAUAGAUGCAUAUAUACAUAUGUAUAUAACAUAUGCAUAUACAGAUUCACAUAUACACCUAUCUAUAUCACCUAUAUUUCUAUAUGUCUAUAACAAAUUUAAAAUACGUAUAUAUUUAAUUCACAUAAAUGGAAUCAAAUGGUACCUUUGUUUCCAACCCUUUUUCUCACUUGAUGAUGUUUUAUGAGCCCUAUGUUUAUUGCAAAUUCUUAUUUACCACAUGUACUUUAUCAGUGUUUCUUAUCCUCAUUCUGUCGUUUCCUCCUUAGUCAUCUUGAAUUCCAUGACUGAGGAAUGUCAUCACCCCCUUGAAUACAUGUUCAACCUCCCGGCCCUCCCUCUAUUUCAUCAAGCUUGCCUGUCAAUUACCACAGAAAUGGUUCCACCCAUUCCUCCCCUACACCCAUUCUGCACAUGAACCUGCUCAGAUGAACAUGGCAACAGAAGGUUGUGAGUGGUCUCGCUUCAUAAUUGUUAUAUUUAUUUUACAUAAAGGUUGAAAAACAAUUGUAAACUUAUGAUUGGUAAUUGUGUAGCCUGUUACUAAUAGCUAACAUCAUGUUAAUUCUUCAUUCAGUCCUCCAGGUUAUUCUGUGACUGUUUUCUAUCUUCCCCUUUCUCCUCAAACCUCCAUCAUUCCAGCCUUCAGCUAGUGAUAUCACUUUCUAUUCACGUAAAAAAAAUGAAAGUAAUUAUUAAAAAGGUUCUACACCCACCUAUUAGAACACCUGCCCACAUACCUUCACCUGUGUGGUGUGCACUUGUCCACAGCUCUCCUGCUGAAUGAUCAACUGCCUGUGUUUCUAAGGUUUUGACCCUUUCCCACAAAUACCAGGCUUUAAUCUGGGGCAUUACCCCAGCAAUUCUUCCUUUUCUCCUGCCUUGUACAUUUUCUCUCUACUGAAUCAUUUCUUCCAUCAAUACAAACAUGCUACAAUAUAAAAAACAAAAUUACAGACCUCUCUCAAGCCCACAUUUCUCUUCACCCACUCUCCUAUUAAAUUAUUCUGUUUUUUAACAAAACGGUCUGAUUCCUCUCCUUUCACUUGUUCUUGAACUCAUAUCAAUCGUGUUUUCACCUAUAACACUCCUGCCCAAUGCUAUACCUGUCAAGACCAUCAGUGACUUCAUGUUUACUAAUUUGAAGCCCACUCCUCUUCUUAUUAACUCAUCUACACACACCUUUAGCACAGUUGGUCACUCUUUUUGCAUUUCCCUCCUUAGCUAGUGUGAUUGAUUAUUUUUAUGGUAUUUUAGUGAAUAAAAUUGCUUCUUCUCUGUAUUAUGUGUUCACAUCCUUGGCCCUUAUUAUUAUUAUUUUUUAAUUAGGAAUUUGAGGGCAGCCCCGGUGGCUCAGCGGUUUAGUGCCGCCUUCAGUCCAGGACGUGAUCCUGGAGACCU
rnacentral:lncRNA from 1 species